UUAGACAUGCAAGUCGAACGGUAAGGCCCCUUUCGGGGGGUACACGAGUGGCGCACGGGUGAGUAACGCGUGGGUAACCUACCUUUGGGUCUGGGACAACUCCGGGAAACUGGAGCUAAUACCGGAUAAGACCACGAGGUCUUCGGGCUUCGCGGAAAAAGAUGGCCUCUUCUUGAAAGCUAUCGCCCGUCGAUGGGCCCGCGUCCCAUUAGUUUGUUGGUGAGGUAACGGCUCACCAAGGCGACGAUGGGUAGCUGGUCUGAGAGGAUGAUCAGC
rnacentral:rRNA from 1 species